CUCUUCUGUGGUGAAAAUUAUCUUUUCAUCAUAAGUGUAAAAGAUGACUUUCACUUUUGUCACAUUUUAGGCAUUGCUUUCAAACUCAUGAGUUGUCAUUGACUUGGAGGAAACAACUUGCAUCUUUGUGACACCAAAAAAAAAAGCAGUAGGGAUCAACAGGAAACCGUGUAAAGAGACCAGGAUUGCAUCACCAGGCCUUGCAUGGAAACGUACUUUGGUUACUGCAACAUGUUGUAUUCUACCAGAGACGAUCACGUCAAAACACAAUGAACACAACAACACCUGCUAAACAUUCUUCAAAGACUAUGUCCCACCUCUCUUCAAUAAGUCUGGAGCCAAUAAUUCAGACACCAGUCUUAAGGAUAAUUGAGAGAUUAUACCAGUCCACAGUGACUACGUGUGAGUCCUCAGGUAGUACCCGUGACGAUGCAAG